UUUCCGUCCAGACCGGAAUACGGAAACACCGGACAUCCGGCAGUUUUGCGAAGGCUGUAAUCAGCGGAUUGAGCACAGCUGUGCCUAGUUAAAGAGAUCGCCGGGCAAUUGGACAACUGGAGUACAUGGAGGAGUAUAAAAAGCACAGUUAGAUCACAGUUCGGGAGUUCGGGCACGAGAGGGGGAUUGACACGGGGAAAGCUCCUCUGCUUAAUGCAGAAAAAGUAACUACGUACCUUUUGAAGAGCCCGCAGGCUCUGUUGAUCCGGGCUGCGCUUGGAGCGCACGGAAAGAAGACAGGAGCUGCCUGGGGUGAAAGAAAGGCGAUACGUGGGUGGAGAAAAGGAGCACCCCGAAGAGAGCAUUGUGCUGUCAAGUUGAGUUGUAGUGUGUGCUGAGGAACGGAGCUGUGCUCAUUGUUAGACGUGGUGGCUGUCUGUAUUUCUCUCUCUCUCCCUCUCUUGUUGUAGUUUACGGUGGACCUGCUGGAGUAAACGAAGAAUCCUAUGGGUAGAAAGGAACCUUGGUCUAACCAGUAUUUUUGAAGGAGUAAAGCAGGAAGAAAAUUGACCUUGUUGCACAACGUAAACAAAGGCUAUCCGCUGUGAGUAUACCCGUUGGUGUGGAGUAACUUGCAGAAAUUAACCUGUGUGAUCGUUGGAGUCCUCCAGGACUAGGAGGGCGGCCCUACCCCUAUAAUAGCGUGGUGGGCGAGCCGCUAGAAGUGUACGUCCAAACAGCCACAGCAACGAGACUUUAUUUUGGUCGUGUUUUCCAUCGCCCCUAUUUCAGCCCAAGCGCAGUGGAGGACACCGGGCGCUUUCCCUUGUGGUGUUGCACUUAUAGUGUGAGUCAGAGGCGAAAGGGUCCGCCGCCCCCGCGGUCUCUACAAAGGGGCGCCCCUGUCCAGGAUUCGAUCGGCCUACGAGCAGUGGAGAUAGGGCAGCGCUCGACCCGGUGAGGUGGUGUGUGACCUUCGCCCCUCUGCUGACCUACGGAAGAAACCAUACCUACCCAGAAAGCUGUAAACAGCAGAGCCGGUGAGAAAUACUCGAAGUUUCAGUAACAGUGUCUUUGUGUCCUAGCGACCACCUGUGGAGAGAGAGGAAAACAAGAGUGAAUAAUUGAAGAACAGACUGUGAACGUGAUACCUACCCAGAAAGCUGUAAGCAGCAGAGCCGGUGAGAAAUACUCGAAGUUUCAGUAACAGUGUCUUUGUGUCCUAGCGACCACCUGUGGAGAGAGAGGAAAACGAGAGUGAAUAAUUGAAGAACAGACUGUGAACGUGAUACCUACCCAGAAAGCUGUAAGCGGCAGAGCCGGUGAGAAAUACUCGAAGUUUCAAGUAACAGUGUCUUUGUGUCCUAGCGACCACCUGUGGAGAGAAAGGAAAACGAGAGUGAACAAAUUGGAGAACAGACUGUGUAACGUGAUACCUACCCAGAGAGCUGUAAGCAGCAGAGCCGGUGAGCAAUACUCGAAGUCCAAGUAACAGUGUCUUGGUGUCCUAGCGACCACCUGUGGAGAACGAGAAUGAACACUAGGAGAAGGAACUGUGUGAAGAUCCAGUUGGUGGUGGAGGAGAGCCUAGAGUGGCCAUUAUUUUAAGUUCCCCGUUUUUCCCUUCCCUAUUUAUCUUUUUUUUAAGUAACUUAAAUAAAGUACAUUUUUAAAUUA